GGCAAUGUGCCAGAGUGGUUAAUGGGUCAGCCUCGAAUUAUCGAGCUGAGCUGAUGUCUUCGGACGCACAGGUUCGAAUCCUGUCAUUGUCG